rnacentral:misc_RNA from 1 species
UGGAAAAUGGGCUGAGCCCCC